rnacentral:rRNA from 1 species
GAUUAACGCUGGCGGCGUGCCUAACACAUGCAAGUCGAACGAGGUAGCAAUACCUAGUGGCAGACGGGUGAGUAACGCGUGGUCAACCUACCGUUGAGUGGGGGAUAACUAGCCGAAAGGUUAGCUAAUACCGCAUACGUCUCCGAGGGGCAUCCCCUGGCGAUAAAAGGAGCAAUCCGCUCGAUGACGGGACCGCGUCCCAUUAGCUAGAUGGUGGGGUAACGGCCUACCAUGGCACCGAUGGGUAGCUGGUUUGAGAGAGCGACCAGCCACACUGAGACUGAGAAACGGCCCAGACUCCUACGGGAGGCAGCAGUGAGGAAUUUUCCGCAAUGGGCGCAAGCCUGACGGAGCGACGCCGCGUGUGGGAAGAAGGCCUUC